UAGCUUGCCUUGCACGGAUCUAAGCUAUCUCCAUCUAUAAAAGAGAAGCUUAGAUCUCUUGUAAACCAACUUGAAUUGAAGUAAAGAAAUGCUGCCAAAUUUCAGCUUUCACUCUCAAGUUCACCUUUGUGCAGUGUUAUCUUGCACUUCCUCUAGCUCCUUUCCCUUAAGGAGAGCUUUCUGAGUUAGACUUCACUGCUCCAUCAUUGCCAAACUCCACCAGACCUUUCAUCAAACACUUUGACCACUUCAUCCGUCACCACUGUUUCAUCCAUCCGCUGCCGUCUUUGAAUCUGCGAAGCGUCUCCGGACAUGAAUUCGGUUGAGGCUUCCAUCAAGUGGUAUCCAGAGCCAACCGUUUCUCAUCCACGCAUCAAGAGCUAACUGGUUUGUGGUGCUGUUGUGGUGCAGUUUAACUCUCCAGAUUGUUCAUCCAACGGGGUAGCCUCUUAAGGAGUGGAAGGCUUGCUAACAAGGCGACAAUUGUGGACUUUGGGAGUAGNUGUAUACUGUUGUUCCAGAUUCAAUUGCAGCAGUAAAACCGUGACAUUCCAAACACCUUGAGCAGUUCUUUACAGCCACACUUGGCUUUAUUCACCCAUUGCUACAUUUCAUUGUAUAUUUGAUNUUGUAUCACGGAACCUUUGCGUAUUACAUUUCAUUCUUUUUGCAA